CUGGGUGACGUCAUCAUACGUAAGAUGGUGGUCAUCGGCGAAAGCUCUUAAUUUGUUCAUCAACGGUAAGACCUCCGUCCCUAGAUCUGGUCUAUCCUUCCGCCUCAGUUCGGCGCACUGUAACGCCAUCUGGGCAAACUGGAGUGCUUGCUGAAUCGGCCAGUCCUUGACCGCUGGAUCUAGAAUAUCCUCGAAGACGUCAUUCUCAAUCGCGGCUUCCACGUGAUGUGUCAAACCCAUCGGUUGUUUCCCGGUGAUGACCUGAAGCAGCAAGAUUCCUAGAGAAUAGACGUCUGAUUUCACACCAAGCAGACCCGUCUGUUGAUACUCCGGAUCGAUGUAGCAGAACGUGCCGGCGGCGGAAGUCAUGUGAUAUUGCGUGGAGGUGGCUGUCGGGGAGUUGUUGGCAGGGACGAUUCGAGCCAAACCGACGUCGCUUAUCUUGCUCACGUAAUUGGAGUCCAGGAGGAUAUUCGCCGGUUUCAGAUCUCGAUGGACUAACGGUUUCGGUUUUGUCUGAUGGAGGAAUAAAAGCGCCGUACAUAUCUCGGCGGAGAUCCGGAAUCGGAGUUGCCAUGGAAGUGGAAGGAUUAUCGGUGGAGUUUUCUUGUUUCGUGGGAAUAACUGCUCUUCAAGGCUUCCGUUUGACAUGUACUCGUACACCAAACAACCAUGCUCCGGACAUGCUCCGAGCAGUAACACCAUGUUCGGAUGUCGCAUCCCGCCUAAAACCUCGAUCUCCUGCUGAAACUGCGAUCUUCCCUGAGCUGCAUCUAGACGGAGGGUUUUGAUAGCCACGGCAGUUUGAUCUAGAAAACAUUUGUACACCGGACCGUAACCACCUUCUCCGAUCUUCCGAUCUGCUGAGAAAUAAUCCGUCGCUUUCUCGAUCUCAUCGAUGCUAUACCUCUUGUAUCGAUUUAGCGCUUUCAUUUCAAACGAACUCAUCGGAAUCAUUCUCUUCUUCCUUACGCCAUCUGCAAUUCCACCCUCCGUCGCCCCCUUGUUUUUCGUUCUUUCCAGCUUCUUCUCUACCACCCUAGGAGGGUUUCUAUCCAUACCCGUACCCAUUUCUUUACCCAUCGUACCCUGACCCGGACGUCGCUGCUGCACAAUACUCAUCUUGCUCAUCUUUCCCUCUUCGAUUCUUCUCUGUUCCUUCAUUUUCCAAUUGUGCAGCUCCUCCGACUAGAUAGAUACAUACACGGAUUAACUAAUUACCUAAGUAACUAGUUAGUUAGUUAAUUAGUUAGUUACCUUUAGCUUUGCAUUGACAGCUUCUUUGCAAGCUGAAUUGUACAUGUCCAUGGUAUGUUUCAACUCUAAUCUCAACCUCUUCAUCUCAGCCUCAGUAUCGUCCUAUAAGGGCUCGGUUUUAGAACUGAAAGUAUUUUUAAGAUCGGAAAAUUAUGCCUACUUACUUACUUACCAUCGUGUUUUGUGACAACCAGGCAGAAGAAGAAGGCAUGCUAUUGUCGAAGGAAUCGUCGUCUUUAGGGAAGACAUUAGAGUCCUUGAACAUGAUUUGGUUGUUGUUGGGAAGAUUGAGAGGAUUGUUUAUGGCGCUUUCGUAUCCAAAUCCAUCGGCAUUGGUCAUGUUGGAAAACCUUGGCGGGCGGUUUCCAUCUAUGUCGUUGAAUAAAGAUGGGAAUAUCUUGUCUGUGCUUGACCGGUCGGAGCUUGUAACGAAAGAUAAGUCAGAUUCAGUCAAUGCGAAGUCUUCGUAAGACUUCAUUCGCGCUCGUCGGAGCUCGGCUUUAGUGUAAGGUGAUCUGCUUGAUUUCAUAGAAUCAAUUGCAAUUAACAUGUGUGAUUAAUCCAAUCAUUAGGAUUUUAGAUCGAUUAUUAAAUUUACUAAUUACGCACAUCAUUGUGUUGGUGUCUUCGAUUGGCUGACUAAUUGCACUCUCACCUACAUAGAAUUAAUCAUGAAUUAGGGUUUAUAAGGAUAGCUUGAGUUCUUAUUUGAAUUCAACUAUCUCUAUAUAUACAUACUUUCAGUAUAGUAGUGAUGAUGUUGUCGAUAUAUGUUUGUGGUCCGUUGUGGUUCUGGCGCCUGUUUGGUGAUCUGGGGUUGGGGUGGUUGAUUGUGUUUGUGAGUUCGAUGAUUGGGUACAAAUGGUGCUGGCCGCAAAGCUUUACGAAUGGAUGAGAUUUUUCCCUUGGAGAUUAUGAAAACUGUGCAGAAAUCUGGUGCUCCUUUAGAAAUGCAGCUGGGAUUAUCACCUGACUUGAAUCUACACCAAAAAUUCAACAUAGAUAUAUCAAUUGAUCUAGGGUUAGGAUUAGCAUUAGGGUUAGUUACCUGGCAAAUCCGCUUCUGGAAACAGCUCCAAGAACAAGCAUAUCGAUUCCGUUUUGUGUUAUGUAUUCAACUAUACUGCUUGGAAUGUCACCGCCUUCUAGAACCACGUCUACACAUCUAACCUGUGCAUGUUAAUGAAGAUGACGACUUUGAAUCUUAACCUUAACCCUAAUUUUAAUCUUUCAUCUGCUACAAAGAUUGAAUGUCGAAUUUUGCUUACGUACUUCUUUUCGAGUGCAGAAACAUCUGAACGGAAGGAACACGUCCUUGGGGUAUGAUUCGUUAUCUAGAUUACGUAAAAAUGCGGAUUAAUUCAACAAUCAAGAUUGAACACCAUGAAAAACUGACUAACUUACUAUUGAUGUUGGAGCGUUUGACAUGAAGCAACAAUAAGGAUUGACCUCUUGUUACCAAAUUAUCAAGAGUCCACUUCAAGGCAACUUGACUGCUUUUGUCUUUGUCAAUGGCGACCGCCACCUUCGUCUCGUUUGAAAAAUCCAAGUUGCUUGCUCGGCCUCCAUGGCCUCGAAUGUUCUUCAUCUUAUCUUCUCUGUUAUCUACAUCAUCGAUCUUCAACCUUUUUCCACCUUCUUUCCUGCAUACCCAGAUUUUUAGUUGUUUCUAUUUGGUGUCAUGUUGUUGUUUUCUUCUAUUUUUACAUUCUUUUCAUGGAUCAAUUGUAUAAAACUAAAUAUAGAAGCAUAUGAAGGUUUACAAGAUUAUUUAGGGUUUAUGUUUUUUUUUGUAAUGUAGGAUAUUUUUUUACGGGAAGUAAAAUAUCUAUCUCUGGAUGGAUAUACUUGAGUCACAUAAUAUCAUAGUUUUAAAAGCGG
rnacentral:lncRNA from 1 species